AUUGAACGCUGGUGGCAUGCCUUACACAUGCAAGUCGAACGGUAACAGGUUAAGCUGACGAGUGGCGAACGGGUGAGUAAUGUAUCGGAACGUGCCCAGUCGUGGGGGAUAACUACUCGAAAGAGUGGCUAAUACCGCAUACGACCUGAGGGUGAAAGCGGGGGACCGUAAGGCCUCGCGCGAUUGGAGCGGCCGAUAUCAGAUUAGCUAGUUGGUGGGGUAAAAGCCCACCAAGGCGACGAUCUGUAGCUGUUCUGAGAGGACGACCAGCCACACUGGAACUGGGACACGGCCCAGACUCCUACGGGAGGCAGCAGUGGGGAAUUUUGGACAAUGGACGCAAGUCUGAUCCAGCCAUGCCGCGUGCGGGAAGAAGGCCUUCGGGUUGUAAACCGCUUUUGUCAGGGAAGAAACGAGUUUCUCUAAUACAGAGACUUAAUGACGGUACCUGAAGAAUAAGCACCGGCUAACUACGUGCCAGCCGCCGCGGUAACAC
rnacentral:rRNA from 1 species